rnacentral:lncRNA from 1 species
GGAUUAUAAACAAUAUUUUUUUUAGAAAUAAGUGCGACCUGAACCUGGGUCGCAAUUCCGAACGUUUUGAAAUAGGAAAAAUCCGUAGCUCUAUGGUCCGCAAAUAGUCAAAAAAUAACAUAAGGACCUAAGAGCUACGGUUCCGCAGCUAGGAAGGAUAACAUGAUUAAUGAGACAGACAAAUUGUAUAUAGAAUGCUUAAAAAAAUACAGUCGUGUCAACCACAGAAUCCUGUAUGUAGGAAAAUGUGUUUUCUAUAAUAAAAAUUGUUAUCACUGAUUAAUAUAUGAUUAAGGUAAAUGAAAUGAUUUUCAUGUGUGCAGUCAAAAAUGAUUUGUAGAAAUCGAUAGUUGACACUGAAGGGGCAAUGUAAAACCGUCAGUCGAAGAAAGACACUUAAGGAUGAACUUAGAUGAUCGUAGGUGAAAUUAAAUAAAUUAAGACUUCAAAAUUGAUGCUUUUAGCUGGAAGAGUAAACGUUAAGGAUCAAAAUAAGCUAAAAUUAUUGAUACAUGUAGGUCCUUUUUGAGAUAUUUGAUAUAUAAAAUAUGACGGGAAAAAGAUGACUCGGACUUUUACCUUAUAUCUGCAUUAGUAUAAUUUGGGUCUCAAAUCAAAAGAAAGAAAAUCAUGAAUCUGCUAAAAUUUGGUUAAAUGACCUGUUAAGAGCUACUAAAUCUUAUAUGAAAAGAUAAAUGAGUGUUAUGUGGCAAAAUAUUUUACCUUGUAUCGUAUACAAAACAACACCAAGGAGUCCGAACAUCUGACACAAAUUCUAAAACCUCAC